CUAGCUAGCAUAGUAGGUGUCUAGUAUUACAUAUUACUACAUAUGCAGUUUCAUCACAGAGACUUUUAGGAGUGUCUGUGAUUGCAGAAUGAAAUGAAUUUCAGAUGUUCUCCACAGCAUCUCCACAGUCAGGGUAGCAUACAUGGCGGGAGGUUAAAGUCAUCAGUCAUCAUGGGAUAUAGGGAGGUUCAGGGUUGGGUGGUAAGGGAUUGGACUUUCAGGGUUCAAAAGCUAUGGCACAGGAACAGGCUGUGUGCUAGACUCCUGCUGGGUGCUUGGGACCAACACAGAGGCCCAUUCAUCUCUCCUGUCAAAGAGUAGUUUUAUGUGGUGAGGCCACGGAUGACCAUGGAUGACAGUGCUCAAACAUAUGAACACAUACAUGUCAGAUAAUUUGAUGAUAAUUUGCCAACUCGAUAUUUUGUUGUUUGAUUCAUGUCAUUUUAUUAUGUUUGCAGGUGUGCAGGUGUUUUUAAUGCAUGAUAAAUAUGUUGGUUGGUGUAGCACCAUCAUUCCAAAGGGUCAGACAGAGGCCCUAAAAGCUGGACUGAACAGAGGAAAUGGAUGGGUGGUGUCAAGUUGCUCUUUCAGGAGGCCGACCUGGGGACCGGACAGCCCUGGACAGGCUCCUUUUUUCUGUGGGUGCUGGGCCGCAGAGCUGCUCAUUAAAAGGAGGAUACGUAAACAGCUGUGACCGGGGCUGGCUGUUGUGUCUGCUCAGCGCUGCUGAAGUGUGAAGAAUGGAGAGGGAGCGGCGGCCGGGUCCGCGGUGCUUGUCCAUCUGCUGGCCGUGCUGUGGCCCUCAGACCUGCCGCGAAUCCAGUAAUGAUCCCCUGGGGCAGCAGGUAUCAGUGACACAGAGCAGGGAAGUG